CGCGAGCGGCGCUACCAUGCAAGUCGAGGGGUAACGGGGAGCUUGCUCCGCCGACGACCGGCGCACGGGUGCGCACCGCGUAUGGAACCUGCCCUCUACAGGGGAAUAGCCCAGGGAAACUUGGAUUAAUGCCCCGUGGUACCAUUUAACGGCAUCGUUUGAUGGUUAAAGCCUUCGGGCGGUAGAGGAUGGCCAUGCGUCCCAUUAGUUAGUUGGUAGGGUAACGGCCUACCAAGACCGCGAUGGGUAGGGGCCCUGAGAGGGGGAUCCCCCACACUGGUACUGAGACACGGACCAGACUCCUACGGGAGGCAGCAGUGAGGAAUAUUGGACAAUGGGCGAGGGCCUGAUCCAGCCAUGCCGCGUGCAGGAAGAAUGCCCUAUGGGUAGUAAACUGCUUUUAUACGGGAAGAAAAAGGGGCACGUGUGCCCUGUUGACGGUACCGUAAGAAUAAGGACCGGCUAACUCCGUGCCAGCAGCCGCGGUAAUACGGAGGGUCCGAGCGUUAUCCGGAAUUAUUGGGUUUAAAGGGUCCGUAGGCGGGCCGGUAAGUCAGGGGUGAAAGUCUGUAGCUCAACUAUAGAACUGCCUUUGAUACUGCCGGUCUUG
rnacentral:rRNA from 1 species